CCUGUCAGUGGCAGAGGUCACCUUUACCUUCUUCCUUGUUUCCCACCAGCUUUAUGCUGAUAUGAUCCAAAACCACCAGUCAACACAGCAUCAGCACAGGGAGAGGAGCAGCCAGUUGACCUAGCUUAUUGACAAAGAGAGUAGCUACUACUGGACCUAGCUUCAAGACGAGAGAGAGGAGCAACUACUGGACCUAGCUUCAAGAUGAGAGAGAGGAGCUAUUAUUGGACCUAGCUUCAAGAUGAGAGAGAGGAGCUAUUUAUUACUGGACCUAGCUUCAAGACGAGAGAGAGGAGCAACUACUGGACCUAGCUUCAAGAUGAGAGAGAGGAGCUAUUAUUGGACCUAGCUUCAAGAUGAGAGAGAGGAGCUAUUUAUUACUGGACCUAGCUUCAAGACGAGAGAGAGGAGCAACUACUGGACCUAGCUUCAAGAUGAGAGAGAGGAGCUAUUAUUGGACCUAGCUUCAAGAUGAGAGAGAGGAGCUAUUUAUUACUGGACCUAGCUUCAAGACGAGAGAGAGGAGCUAUUACUGGACCUAGCUUCAAGACAAGGAGAGAGGAGCUAUUUAUUACUGGACCUAGCUUCAAGAUGAGAGAGGAGCUAUUUAUUACUGGACCUAGCUUCAAGAUGAGAGAGAGGAGCUAUUACUGGACCUAGCUUCAAGACAAGGAGAGAGGAGCUAUUACUGGACCUAGCUUCAAGAUGAGAGAGAGGAGCUAUUACUGGACCUAGCUUCAAGACGAGAGAGAGGAGCUACUACUAGACCUAGCUUCAAGACGAGAGAGAGGAGCUGGACCUAGCUUCAAGACGAGAGAGAGGAGCUACUACUGGACCUAGCUUCAAGACGAGAGAGAGGAGCUACUACUGGACCUAGCUUCAAGACAAGAGGGGAGAGGAGCUACUAUGAAAGCUUGAGUCUACAGAAACUGGAGAGAGAAAGCCCGGAGCUCCCCCAUCUGAUAGCGGAGUCGAAGGAGUACAGCAAGAGGAGCAAGACCAUCAACGAUGGUCGCAUGUCAUGAGCCAUGGAAGCCGAAGACAGCAACCUCCAGCAAAGCAGUCUACACUCCCAACAAGAGGCCCGGAUAGGAUACAAACAACAAAUAGUUUCGCCGUCCUGGAGCCUGAUCUUCCUGCACCUUCGUCGCUGGGGGUGCCUGUGUUUGCUACUCGAAGUCGACAUCAGCAACCUUCCGUCCCUGCUCUAGAUCAAGCGGGGCUUCUCCAUCUGUCGGAGGCCUGCCAAAGGCAACGGGCUCAAGUUAUCCUGCCUCUCGCCCGUCUAUAAAGGGUUCUCCAAAUCCUGAGAAGCGUGGGGGAGGGUGGAUUUCCUCAUCCUUCUCGCCAGCUCCAUGGUAAGAAAUGUGAUCGUUCCUGGUGCAAAAACAAUGUCUUAACCUGAAGCUUGUGUAAAUUACAUGGAAAUCAAUUCUAUCGUAGUCCAUGUGGGUUUUAAUGACGACAUUAUUAAAGGGCAGUUCUGAAAAGUUGAAACUGGAUUUUAAAGAGAUGACUGACUCUCUCCUAAACACUAACGAAAGACCCAUUAUAUCUGGCUCUGUGCCCCCUGAAUCGCGGCAUUGAACGCUUUAGCAGGAUUUUUUUCUCUUCACAACUGGCUACGUGAUUAUAGCAGCUCAAUGGGUGUAACUUUUGUUGGCAAAUUUGAUACCUUUUGGACACAAAACACAUUUUAUAAGGAGGAUGGGAUCCAACCAAAUCAUUUGGGAUUCUGGAUCCUUUCACAGCACUAUACGGCUGCGUUGAGACAAUGACUUAUCAAUGUCUCAAGCCACAGCUAGCACAGUGGAUCUGGGACGAUUCCGACUGAGAGUGGGGGGACUCGGCUGAGAGUCAGACUUGGCCAACAUCAUGUGGCCCAUUUUUCCAUAUUUUGUCAUUGUUUCUGUUAUCAAAAAUUAAAAUUAAAUUCUUUAA